rnacentral:rRNA from 1 species
CCAGACUCCUACGGAGGCAGCAGUGGGGAAUAUUGCACAAUGGGGGAAACCCUGAUGCAGCAACGCCGCGUGAGUGAAGAAGUAUUUCGGUAUGUAAAGCUCUAUCAGCAGGGAAGAAGAUGACGGUACCUGACCAAGAAGCCCCGGCUAACUACGUGCCAGCAGCCGCGGUAAUACGUAGGGGGCAAGCGUUAUCCGGAUUUACUGGGUGUAAAGGGAGCGCAGACGGCAGUGCAAGUCUGGAGUGAAAGCCCGGGGCCCAACCCCGGAACUGCUCUGGAAACUGUGCGGCUAGAGUACUGGAGGGGCAGGCGGAAUUCCUAGUGUAGCGGUGAAAUGCGUAGAUAUUAGGAGGAACACCGGCGGCGAAGGCGGCCUGCUGGACCGAAACUGACGUUGAGGCUCGAGAGCGUGGGGAGCAAACAGGAUUAGAUACCCUCGUAU